CACGUAGGGGGCGAGCGUUGUCCGGAUUCAUUGGGCGUAAAGAGCGUGUAGGCGGCCAGGUAGGUCUGCUGUGAAAACUCGAGGCUCAACCUCGAGACGUCGGCGGAAACCAUCUGGCUAGAGUCCGGAAGAGGAGAGUGGAAUUCCUGGUGUAGCGGUGAAAUGCGCAGAUAUCAGGAAGAACACCCGUGGCGAAGGCAGCCCCCUGGGCUAACACUGACGCUCAGGCACGAAAGCGUGGGGAGCAAACAGG
rnacentral:rRNA from 1 species